rnacentral:rRNA from 1 species
CGGCCCAGACUCCUACGGGAGGCAGCAGUGGGGAAUAUUGCAAUGGGCGAAAGCCUGAUGCAGCAACGCCGCGUGAGGGAUGACGGCCUUCGGGUUGUACCUCUUUUAGCAAGGAAGAAGCGAAAGUGACGGUACUUGCAGAAAAAGCGCCGGCUAAACGUGCCAGCAGCCGCGGUAAUACGUAGGGCGCAAGCGUUAUCCGGAAUUAUUGGGCGAAGAGCUCGUAGGCGGUCUGUCGCGUCUGCUGUGAAAACCCGAGGCUCAACCUCGGGCGCAGUGGGUACGGGCAGACUAGAGUGCGGUAGGGGAGAUUGGAAUUCCUGGUGUAGCGGGAAUGCGCAGAUAUCAGGAGGAACACCGAUGGCGAAGGCAGAUCUUUGGGCCGUAACACGCUGAGGAGCGAAAGGGUGGGGAGCAAACAGGCUUAGAUACCCUGGUAGUCCACCCUAAACGUUGGGAACUAGUUGUGGGGUCCAUUCCACGGAUUCCGUGACGCAGCUAACGC